UACGAAGGGGGCUAGCGUUGCUCGGAAUCACUGGGCGUAAAGCGCACGUAGGCGGCUUUCUAAGUCAGGGGUGAAAUCCUGGAGCUCAACUCCAGAACUGCCUUUGAUACUGGAGAGCUUGAGUCCGGAAGAGGUGAGUGGAACUCCGAGUGUAGAGGUGAAAUUCGUAGAUAUCGGGAGGAACACCAGUGGCGAAGGCGGCGAUCUGGGCAGACACUGACGCUGAGGUGCGAAAGCGUGGGGAGCAAACAGG
rnacentral:rRNA from 1 species